AUUGAACGCUGGCGGCAUGCCUUACACAUGCAAGUCGAACGGUAACAGGUCUUCGGAUGCUGACGAGUGGCGAACGGGUGAGUAAUACAUCGGAACGUGCCCGAUCGUGGGGGAUAACGAAGCGAAAGCUUUGCUAAUACCGCAUAAGAUCUAAGGAUGAAAGCAGGGGACCGCAAGGCCUUGCGCGAACGGAGCGGCCGAUGGCAGAUUAGGUAGUUGGUGGGAUAAAAGCUUACCAAGCCGACGAUCUGUAGCUGGUCUGAGAGGACGACCAGCCACACUGGGACUGAGACACGGCCCAGACUCCUACGGGAGGCAGCAGUGGGGAAUUUUGGACAAUGGGCGAAAGCCUGAUCCAGCCAUGCCGCGUGCAGGAUGAAGGCCUUCGGGUUGUAAACUGCUUUUGUACGGAACGAAAAGACUCUGGUUAAUACCUGGGGUCCAUGACGGUACCGUAAGAAUAAGCACCGGCUAACUACGUGCCAGCCGCCGCGGUAACAC
rnacentral:rRNA from 1 species